UACGUAGGGGGCAAGCGUUGUCCGGAUUUAUUGGGCGUAAAGAGCGUGUAGGCGGCUAGGUAGGUCCGUUGUGAAAACUCGAGGCUCAACCUCGAGACGCCGAUGGAAACCAUCUAGCUAGAGUCCGGAAGAGGAGAGUGGAAUUCCUGGUGUAGCGGUGAAAUGCGCAGAUAUCGGGAGGAACACCGGUGGCGAAGGCGGUUCUCUGGGCCUGACCUGACGCUGAGGAGCGAAAGCGUGGGGAGCGAACAGG
rnacentral:rRNA from 1 species